GAUGAACGCUGGCGGCGUGCCUAAUACAUGCAAGUCGGGCGAACAGACGAGGAGCUUGCUCCUCUGACGUUAGCGGCGGACGGGUGAGUAACACGUGGAUAACCUACCUAUAAGACUGGGAUAACUUCGGGAAACCGGAGCUAAUACCGGAUAAUAUAUUGAACCGCAUGGUUCAAUAGUGAAAGACGGUUUUGCUGUCACUUAUAGAUGGAUCCGCGCCGCAUUAGCUAGUUGGUAAGGUAACGGCUUACCAAGGCAACGAUGCGUAGCCGACCUGAGAGGGUGAUCGGCCACACUGGAACUGAGACACGGUCCAGACUCUUACGGGAGGCAGCAGUAGGGAAUCUUCCGCAAUGGGCGAAAGCUUGACGGAGCAACGCCGCGUGAGUGAUGAAGGUCUUCGGAUCGUAAAACUCUGUUAUUAGGGAAGAACAAAUGUGUAAGUAACUAUGCACGUCUUGACGGUACCUAAUCAGAAAGCCACGGCUAACUACGUG
rnacentral:rRNA from 1 species